UGCCCAUCCCAACAACUACUAGCUUCACUUCCAUCUCUGAUAUUCCUCCUUCGUUCACCCUCCUCGUGCCAUAAUGUUGUGUAUCGAUCCUGCCAUGUUUUUACCGAUUACAUGUUUUUUUGUCAAGCCUUGCUAUAUUUUCACACACCACAUAUGCACUAAGUUUAAGUUCAAAAGUUAUGAAAUUAUCACACAUAUAAAACUUCAACUUGAAAGCCCUCAAAGGUCGUAAGUUAGGGUAGGCUCAAAUAAUCCUUCAAAAAAGUAGGACAAAAUAUUUAUGAAUAUCACUUUACUUAGGGC
rnacentral:lncRNA from 1 species